UACGGCCAUAUCACGUUCAAACACUGGUCCUCAUACGAUGAUCGAAGUUAAGCAACGCCAAACCUGAUCAGUGCUUAGAUUGGUGAUCGCUUGGGAAUAUCAGGUGCUGUAG